GAUGAACGCUGGCGGCGUGCCUAAUACAUGCAAGUCGAGCGAACAGAUAAGGAGCUUGCUCCUUUGACGUUAGCGGCGGACGGGUGAGUAACACGUGGGUAACCUACCUAUAAGACUGGGAUAACUUCGGGAAACCGGAGCUAAUACCGGAUAACAUUUGGAACCGCAUGGUUCUAAAGUGCAAGGUGGUUUUGCUAUCACUUAUAGAUGGUCCCGGGCCGUAUUAGCUAGUUGGUAAGGUAACGGCUUACCAAGGCGACGAUACGUAGCCGACCUGAGAGGGUGAUCGGCCACACUGGAACUGAGACACGGUCCAGACUCCUACGGGAGGCAGCAGUAGGGAAUCUUCCGCAAUGGGCGAAAGCCUGACGGAGCAACGCCGCGUGAGUGAUGAAGGGUUUCGGCUCGUAAAACUCUGUUAUUAGGGAAGAACAAAUGUGUAAGUAACUGUGCACGUCCUGACGGUACCUAAUCAGAAAGCCACGGCUAACUACGUG
rnacentral:rRNA from 1 species